CCGAUGCAAACUGCGAAUACCGGAGAAUGUUAUCACGGGAGACACACGGCGGGUGCUAACGUCCGUCGUGAAGAGGGAAACAACCCAGACCGCCAGCUAAGGUCCCAAAGUCAUGGUUAAGUGGGAAACGAUGUGGGAAGGCCCAGACAGCCAGGAUGUUGGCUUAGAAGCAGCCAUCAUUUAAAGAAAGCGUAAUAGCUCACUGGUCGAGUCGGCCUGCGCGGAAGAUGUAACGGGGCUAAACCAUGCACCGAAGCUGCGGCAGCGACACUCAGGUGUUGUUGGGUAGGGGAGCGUUCUGUAAGCCUGCGAAGGUGGCCUGUGAGGGUUGCUGGAGGUAUCAGAAGUGCGAAUGCUGACAUAAGUAACGAUAAAGCGGGUGAAAAGCCCGCUCGCCGGAAGACCAAGGGUUCCUGUCCAACGUUAAUCGGGGCAGGGUGAGUCGACCCCUAAGGCGAGGCCGAAAGGCGUAGUCGAUGGGAAACGGGUUAAUAUUCCCGUACUUGGUGUUACUGCGAAGGGGGGACGGAGAAGGCUAUGUUGGCCGGGCGACGGUUGUCCCGGUUUAAGCGUGUAGGUGUGUGUUCCAGGUAAAUCCGGUUCACUUUAACACUGAGGCGUGAUGACGAGGCACUACGGUGCUGAAGCAACAAAUGCCCUGCUUCCAGGAAAAGCCUCUAAGCAUCAGGUAACAUCAAAUCGUACCCCAAACCGACACAGGUGGUCAGGUAGAGAAUACCAAGGCGCUUGAGAGAACUCGGGUGAAGGAACUAGGCAAAAUGGUGCCGUAACUUCGGGAGAAGGCACGCUGACACGUAGGUGAAGUGAUUUACUCAUGGAGCUGAAGUCAGUCGAAGAUACCAGCUGGCUGCAACUGUUUAUUAAAAACACAGCACUGUGCAAACACGAAAGUGGACGUAUACGGUGUGACGCCUGCCCGGUGCCGGAAGGUUAAUUGAUGGGGUCAGCGCAAGCGAAGCUCCUGAUCGAAGCCCCGGUAAACGGCGGCCGUAACUAUAACGGUCCUAAGGUAGCGAAAUUCCUUGUCGGGUAAGUUCCGACCUGCACGAAUGGCGUAAUGAUGGCCAGGCUGUCUCCACCCGAGACUCAGUGAAAUUGAACUCGCUGUGAAGAUGCAGUGUACCCGCGGCAAGACGGAAAGACCCCGUGAACCUUUACUAUAGCUUGACACUGAACAUUGAGCCUUGAUGUGUAGGAUAGGUGGGAGGCUUUGAAGUGUGGACGCCAGUCUGCAUGGAGCCGGCCUUGAAAUACCACCCUUUAAUGUUUGAUGUUCUAACGUGGACCCGUGAUCCGGGUUGCGGACAGUGUCUGGUGGGUAGUUUGACUGGGGCGGUCUCCUCCUAAAGAGUAACGGAGGAGCACGAAGGUUGGCUAAUCCUGGUCGGACAUCAGGAGGUUAGUGCAAUGGCAUAAGCCAGCUUGACUGCGAGCGUGACGGCGCGAGCAGGUGCGAAAGCAGGUCAUAGUGAUCCGGUGGUUCUGAAUGGAAGGGCCAUCGCUCAACGGAUAAAAGGUACUCCGGGGAUAACAGGCUGAUACCGCCCAAGAGUUCAUAUCGACGGCGGUGUUUGGCACCUCGAUGUCGGCUCAUCACAUCCUGGGGCUGAAGUAGGUCCCAAGGGUAUGGCUGUUCGCCAUUUAAAGUGGUACGCGAGCUGGGUUUAGAACGUCGUGAGACAGUUCGGUCCCUAUCUGCCGUGGGCGCUGGAGAACUGAGGGGGGCUGCUCCUAGUACGAGAGGACCGGAGUGGACGCAUCACUGGUGUUCGGGUUGUCAUGCCAAUGGCACUGCCCGGUAGCUAAAUGCGGAAGAGAUAAGUGCUGAAAGCAUCUAAGCACGAAACUUGCCCCGAGAUGAGUUCUCCCUGAGACUUUAGGUCUCCUGAAGGAACGUUGAAGACGACGACGUUGAUAGGCCGGGUGUGUAAGCGCAGCGAUGCGUUGAGCUAACCGGUACUAAUGAACCGUGAGGCUUAACCUUACA
rnacentral:rRNA from 1 species